rnacentral:lncRNA from 1 species
GUUUACCAGGUUGGUAGUCUUUCUUGAUUCCAGUAGACUGGUAUCCUAAGUCACGAUUUGAGUCCCAUCACUGUUUUACUAACGGCAUUACAAGUGCUACAGCACAGACAAUCCUGUAAACAGUAUUAAAAACUAUGGGAUUCCAGAGGUUCACAUUAAAUAUUGACAAUUUGUAUGUAAAAAAUUAGUUUGAUGUAAUUUUGAUAACUUUCCCACUCCAUACGCCUCAGAAAUGUUACUUUUUGCUCAUUAAAUUAUGCAAGGCAGCAGCAAGCCAUAGAGAGUGAAAUGCCUGCACGGCAAUGGAGUUGUUCAGACUCUUGAGCAGAAAUAUCACUGGAGCAAAACCAACCAUGCAUUCUGGGCUUGUCUGGUUUGAAAGACCCUCCAAUCAUUUUACCUAUGGGUAGCUUCAUUGUCCUGAUGUUCCUGCAAAUGAAUUUUGUCUCUCGCUGUGGCUCUUAGCUUGUUCACUUACAGACUUAGAAGUUGUUAGAAGGGAUACAUGAAGAAUAAGGUUGAUUUGGUAUGAACCUUUCUGAUCAUUCUUGAGAGAUCUUUGAGUUGCUUAAAAAUAUCUUACACCUCAUAAGCUGAAUGCUGUACUUACUUCAAGCACUGUUUAAUAAAGUGAUUGCAAACAUUUUUUUUUUUUGCUUGUACAUAUUCUUUUUUUUUUUAAUAUGUCCUAAACUGUCUUUGUGCUUAUACUGUAGUGGAAGAAAAAUAGAGCAGCAAAUAUGGUACGUUGCAGUAUAUGCAUACUGGUAUGUUAUGCUUUGCAGAUAAUCACAGAAUUAGAUUAUAAGCUUAACAACUUAUUGUCCAGAGACUUCAAAAGAUUUAUUUUUUUAUUACAUAUGAUUUUUCUUAAUUCCAUAAGAAGGCUCUUUUUACGUUUAUCUUCCCUUCUGAGAUGUCACUGGUGAUACUGUAUUGAUCAAUUAAAAAGAUUUGCACUGAAGCUUUUUACUUGAUGUAGGCUGUCUUUUUCAAUUAUAGCUAUGCCACUAUGCUGUGCAGAGCACUGUAGUUAGGGUUGUGUCAGCAUUUAUAUUUUAAAUUCCUUGUUUUUAUCAGCAACUUAAUACUGGCAAUAAAAAUUGCUUUGAGGCAUAUCAAAGCAAGAUCGUAGCCUUCCCAGUGAGUCAGUAACAGGUCAGUGUCUUAGGACUACUCAGAGGGGUCUGAGCUAACCAAAGGUCAGAACCUUCUGUUACAAUUAUUAUCUGUGUCUGUAACUACUGUUUUCAGAGUUGAAGGCUGUUUGCUUACUUGAGGUACUGUUGUUCAGCAUCUAAAAGGAGCAGAUCUCAUUGAACCAUUCUCUGGGCAUUUCUAUGGAGUUGAUAGUAGCUCCUGAAUCUUUUUUCUUCUUUUUUUCCUUUACUUUCUCCCCAACCUUCUAUUGCUCUGAGACGGACCUGAUGAGAAUAAGAGAUGACUAUCUCAGCUGUUCGGUUUUCUAUACGGAGGUGACUGUAUGAAUAGAGAAGUAGUGUGUGCAGAGGAGUUGGGGUUAUUUUCUGCUGAUAUUAGAAACAUAAAGCCAUGGUAAAAACAAACAACAACAACAAAUACCAAAAAAAGUUCCUAAUGUUGCAGAUUAAAGCUGUUGGAAGCAGCUGUGCAUUAGAUGUCUGCGCUGACUGAGGAGCCAGAGCUCAGUCAUACUCCCCAACAAUCGGAGCAUGAAGGAACAAGAUUUUGUUUUUCCUGUGUGUUGCUGGGGAGCCCAGCCUUUGCAGGAAGGAGUGAAGCACUCCAGACCUGCUUCAGUAUCUUCCUUAUCUGAGAAAGGCAUAGAAUUAUAUGUCAGGCUCUGAGAACAGAGCUGAGGAGCUCUUUGGGUGGGUACAUCUCCCACAGCACAGAAAACAGCCAAACAGCCCCACAAAACAAAAACACAACAGAACAAAACCAAAAGAGGCUGAAGAGGUGAAGUUGUGGUGUAGCA